rnacentral:piRNA from 1 species
UACUAUGAAUUUUGGAAGGACGUUGC